GGGAAUUUUGCACAAUGGGCGAAAGCCUGAUGCAGCGACGCCGUGUGAACGACGAAGUCCUUCGGGAUGUAAAGUUCUGUCAGCAGGGAAGAUUAUGACGGUACCUGCAGAGGAAGCACCGGCAAACUAUGUG
rnacentral:rRNA from 1 species